CAGAGGCCCUUCCUCAACCCCCACCCGAGAAAUACAGCCCCGCAUCGCAUGCAGUUCACCUUGCCAACAAUGGUGGUCAUUUCUUAAGGAAAACUACCCUGGCCCCUAAGACUUGUAACACCUGUAAUUCUCCUUCUUUGUCCCUUUCAAGGAAGUUGCCAUGUUCUGGGCAGCUUGUGAAGAGGCCCCCAUUUGACAAGGAAUGAACUGAGGCCUAUCAACAAC